rnacentral:lncRNA from 1 species
UGCUUGAAAGUACCUCUCUCAGGAAAGUGGUUCGAAUUAUGUAAUAAAAGUCAGAAAUUGUCUAAGGAGCUGAAUCACAGAGGUCAGGGAGCUGAAGAAUGUGGACAUGAUGGCAGAGAACACUGAUGUUAAUGUGACAGAAAACAACAGAAAGAGCAAAGACUAUCCUCCAGAGUGUGAGUCAUACAUUACCUGUAUUUAUGACAGGAUGCUCUGAAAUAUUCUUUUUCAACAGCACUGUGGUCUUUUCUUCUCUGCAAAUAAUCCUGUUUCAUAUGUAAGUCAUGAUUCACACUGUAAGUUUAGCCCAUAGUGAAAUAUUCUUGCAUAGUCCUGUGUCUUUUCUUUUCUUUUCUAGUCAGUCCCGAAAACACAUCAGUGCCAGUAACAGAAGCCAGUAUCUCAGAUGACUCAAGGUUGAAAUGUUGGUGUUCUGAGAUUUUCGGUCCAAACCAAAGACCGACGACGAUAUGGAGGGCAAGAUGGAGUGAGAGAACAUAUGAUGAAAUGUUACCUGAAAGAAAGACCUCCAGCAGCACCAUCAGUUCGUGUGACUCAGGAUAUGCUUCAAGAAAAUGCAAAGGUAUUUUCUCCAUCCCUGAAAAUGAUGCAAUAAGGCAACACCCACAAUUUGCAUUUAGUACGAUUUUUGUAAUCAGCAUUUUCCACAGAGAUUUUCACUCCCAAACAAAGACGGACGAUAUGCAGUGCAGGAUGGGAUGAGAGAACAUGAUGACAUGUUACCUGGAAGAACAACCUCUUCCAGCACCAACAAUUCAUUUGACUAAGGAUAUGCUUCAAGAAAAUGCACAUCCAUUUUCUCCAUCCCUGAAAAUGCCAAACAGAACAAACAAAACAAUGUGUCAACUACGAAUAAGACCAGCAGUAGAGACAAAGUUGAUUGUCCACUCCAGGUGCCACUAUGACCAGCCAUGAAUUGAGAGAUCACUUACAUACUGAAUCUUUAAAGAACAAUUUCUCAAUCAGUAAACAGUAAUGAGACUCUGUGAAUGUAGUCACGGCCCUGAUCAUAUUGUCCAGAAAUUAGUAAUUUGAGAGUCGACUUGGAGGAAAAGUGCAUACAGGCAUCUGAAGUGAAACAUUGCUAUAGUGUGCAAUGUAGAUCAUGCUGCAUGUCACACAAAAACACCCUUCUGUAGACCUUGUUUUACCUGCUGUGUUAGUGCAAGAGUGGAUAUAUUUGAAAGUACCAGUUGUAACUUAUCGGUUGUUUUUUUAUGUAAAUAUAUACUGUAUGUUUUGUCCACUGAAUACAAUUGCAGAAGAAUGGGGAUUUAGUUUUUUUUUUCCCUUAUGUUUUUGAACAGCUUGUCUAUUUUAUACAGUACUUUAUACAAUUAAAUGUAUUUCUGUCAGGACCACUGUCGUCAAAGAUGAUUGACAAUUAGCAUACAGUUUGGAUUGGCGGUAUGGUUCUGUUCUGGGCAAGAACUCCCUGCGCCUCCAUGCAGCCUUGCAUGGAUGAGAGCAGGGAGAGCUGCAAUAACCCCCCAGGGUAAACAGAACAGAACUAACAUAAAUGUAUUGCAGAUAUCGUUAAAGUUCAAUCAUUUUAUGUACACAUUUUAGAAUUAGUCUGAUUCAAGGAGAAUCAGAAGGCUGAAUCCUGACUGACAGAGGAGGAGUUGGGGAUGGAGGAGGGUAAUUAGCUAUUGAGCAAUGCAAAAACUGCUGAUAAUACUGAGGGACCUUAUAUAAGAAUGCUUAGAUAUGUGUCGUAUUCCCAUAGGUUGAUGGGGAUCAGCUGAGAGUCAGCUGAUGUGAGCUUGACUAACGUGACCUGCCAGAACUAACGCUACGCUUGAUUAUUAUUGCAUGUUUAAAUAUUUUCAGUGUAAAAGUCAUUAUUUUGACUAUAUUAUUUAAAAAAUAAACAAUAUAAACUGUAAACCUGU